rnacentral:rRNA from 1 species
GAUGAACGCUGGCGGCGUGCCUAAUACAUGCAAGUCGAGCGAACGGACGAGAAGCUUGCUUCUCUGAUGUUAGCGGCGGACGGGUGAGUAACACGUGGAUAACCUACCUAUAAGACUGGGAUAACUUCGGGAAACCGGAGCUAAUACCGGAUAAUAUUUUGAACCGCAUGGUUCAAAAGUGAAAGACGGUCUUGCUGUCACUUAUAUAUGGAUCCGCGCUGCAUUAGCUAGUUGGUAAGGUAACGGCUUACCAAGGCAACGAUGCAUAGCCGACCUGAGAGGGUGAUCGGCCACACUGGAACUGAGACACGGUCCAGACUCCUACGGGAGGCAGCAGAAGGGAAUCUUCCGCAAUGGGCGAAAGCCUGACGGAGCAACGCCGCGUGAGUGAUGAAGGUCUUCGGAUCGUAAAACUCUGUUAUUAGGGAAGAACAUAUGUGUAAGUAACUGUGCACAUCUUGACGGUACCUAAUCAGAAAGCCACGGCUAACUACGUG